UAGCCAGGGCCCCACCCUGGACACUCUGCACUCCACCUCCCAGUCUCCAGCAACCCUGCCUCUGCAGGCCCCUCACCAGGCCUCACACACUCUCUGUCUGCGUUCUUUUUUGAGUCAAUAUGUCUUCUGGAGUCACAGCCCCAGAUCUCAGCAGUCAUUCUGUUCUGUCAUUCUGUGGCUCAGGACCACAUUUACACAUAGAGAUCUCACACGUACACACACACAAUUACACCGUCACGGGCAAACAAAUUGAUACAUGGCCCACUGUUACAAGCCUUCAAAAUGCAGAUACAUACCUAUGUGACCCCAUCUUCCUACACACACAGACACUAUUAGAUUCAUACAGACACAGACACAAUCUGCACACAAACGCAGAACAUAUUAAUUCAAAAGACACACCCACCGUGUGUUCAUAUAGUCCUUGUGUGUGUUCACUCAAGACCAGACAUAUCCAUGGAAACCCUGCCAGGAAGGCUUAGCCUGGCUCCAGAGAGGCCAGCAAGGGCCCUCUCGACACAUUCAACACCUCAGGGAUCCCUGAACUUCCCCGCUAGGAACACUGGCUGGGUCAUCAGCUCUGUCCUAACCCAGCUAGACUCCAAGGUGACCCAGAGCAGGCAGGCUGACUGCUGGGGCUGUAACGGGACCUGGUGAUGCCUCUACAAGCUCCAGGCCAAGAGAACAACAGCUCAUUCCUGAGAUAAGGAUCCUGCUGCCAUCUGCCAGAUCCUGAGGCGGCUCAAGACAAGCCAGGGAUGAACCAGAACUCGGCUGAGAGCAGAGGCUCCACCCUGGAGAAGCACCGCUGGAAGCACCCACGCAGGGAAGGACUCUCCAUGCCAUAGGAGCCUGCCAGGCAGAAGGCACUAAGGAAGUACUAUAGGGAAUGAGAGAGGAGAGCCCGGAGAGAGGGAAGAAAGGCAAAGUGGAAGAGAGAGCUGGAUGGGAGACUUGUGGAGAGACAGGAAUGGAGGAAUCACAAUGGACUCUCCAAGGAAGAGGACAGUGGUGACUUCUUGCCCCCACAAAAGCUGGCCAUGCUUUAUGGGGUGUCAUCUCAAUAGUGGUGCCUACUCUCUGCUUGUAAAUUCUUUCGGAAUCUUCAAGGUGCUUCCAGAACUCCUGACCCUCCCUCUGGAGGUAAGGGAGGGGAGAAAAGGCGGCUCCAGCUGAGGGUAUUGAUGUGUUAAUGCAGCCAGCAUUGAGUUGUCCUCACACACCCACUGACACACCAUACAGGGGGAAGUCCAGGUCCCCACAGCACAGCUGGAGCCUGCGAGUGGACUUUGCCAGCCCUGCUCUCACCAGACAGAGAGGGGCUGCAGCUAUCCUGCCAGAAAUGUCCUCAUUCCCACACAGGCACACACACCCACACACUCACAUACACAUUCACGCUCACACAAAGGCUGAAAAUGUCGCCCUGUCUUCCCACAUUCCUCCUUCAUGCCCCUUCACCCCAAAUCCAGACCGCAGGAGGGACUCAGCCAUUUCCAGCCAUGUCAGCAUAGAAUGUCCCUUGGUGGAACUUGCCCCAACCUGAGCAGGAAGCCACAAUGUCCAAACUUGAGCCCUGCCCUGUGGACCUGUCCCGGUGGGGUGAGAAGUCUCUGGAGUUGCCAUCCCCGCCACCCUCAGGCCUCAUCCUGGAGUGGGGCACGGCCCUCCCGUAGCACAGGGUGCCCAGGGCUGUGAUCUCAGGCCUGAGCUCUCACUGGCCAUGAAGGAAGCAAGCACUCAGACUUACAUCAGCCUUAGUCUCUUGCCCUUUCAAGGCAAGCGACUCCCCUGCCCCUUGGCCCUGGCCUUAGGAGAGAAGGAGUAGUGCUGGGAAUAGCACACAGUCUGAUGAAAAUUGAUCCUUCCCAAGCUCCUCCUGAGCCCUCACCCAAUGCCCGUGCUCACCUCCCUCCUACCCCACCUCCAGCUCCUGCAGAGCAAUCCAUCCCUCUCCUCCUAUUCACAGCACAAGUUUGCAGGGCACCUGCACACAUGUGUGAGCCCAACAGGGGACACAUAAAGAUCCACUCAAAGACCUCCACACCACAGACACCCACCCUGAACCUCAGGCACAGGGUCUCCUGGGGAGAGGUCCCCUGGCAAUACCCACACCCGGCUGCAGCAGGGCAAGGGUGGACAGCACUCUGCCAGGCAUCUCAGGCAGCCCCAGGCUCUGCUGUGAGCCCUCACUGCCCCUUUCCUGUCCACUUGGCUUCAUGCUGGCUAUCCCUGCCCCCUGCCCAGCCCCGUACCUGGGCUCAGGCACACGAGUAGAAGGUGGAAUGCUCCUCCAA